CGUAGCAGAUAGCUCAGUAACACGUGGCCAAACUACCCUAUGGAUCCGGAUACCCUCGGGAAACUGAGACUAAUCCGGAAUAGCGUUCAUCGCCUGGAGUGGCACGAACGCGAAACGUUACGGCGCCAUAGGAUGUGGCUGCGGCCGAUUAGGUAGACGGUGGGGUAACGGCCCACCGUGCCCAUAAUCGGUACGGGUUGUGAGAGCAAGAGCCCGGAGACGGUAUCUGAGACAAGAUACCGGGCCCUACGGGGCGCAGCAGGCGCGAAACCUUUACACUGCACGCGAGUGCGAUAAGGGGACUCC
rnacentral:ncRNA from 1 species